CCCCCCGUGGCCCUGUCUCCUUUCUUCAUGCCACCCCUUCUGGCAGCCACGUGCUUCUGCAGCAGGCCACAGAAGGCCUGUGAAGGGUCCCCUGGUCAGGCCAGCUGUGGCCAGGGAGAGGAGCAGGGGCCCGUGGAAGGAGAGAGAGCCUUCCAGCGCUGACAGUCAGGGAGCACACAGCCACCUCCGAGGGGUGGGAACUGCACCGGGCCUUCAACCCCAGGGAAUCAGAAAGACAGAGAAAAGAAGCCUUCUAGUCCAGGCACAGAGAUGUUCUCAGGGCCCGCUGGAACAACUUACGGAAUUUUAUAUCUCUACGUGAGAAGCUGUACAGAAGGAAAAUCUGUCCGAGUUACACAGCAAUGAUACUUGACUACUAAAUCUUUUAUGAACAUCCUGUAUAACUGUGUUUAAAUAAAUCAUGGACAUUUUUAUAUGACA